GUAGCAUUUGCCCAGCUCAACUGUCUUCGAGAGUCUUUCUUUCUGCAUUAUGGGUGUCUCAUUCAGAUCAACCUCCCUCAAAAUUCCAGAUGAAGCUUUAGAUGCCAAAUGAUCCGCGAAUUCAGCUGUUGUUUCAGCAGUUGCAAUUUCCAUGGCUAGUUUGGCUUCAAGAGGGAACAAUAAUCGUGCAAAUGCCACUCUGUUUUCCAGGUAGAGCAGUUUCAUCGGCAGAUCAUCGGCCAACAUGGGGGAAGAAAAUAAUGCAUCUCCAGUCAUUGGGUUGCGACGCAUCUCUCUCUCCAAAACAUCAAUACAUACCCGAUCUUUGUUUGCUUCCUGCCCUUGUUCUGUUUUUGCAUGGUACUCCUUAGGCCUAGUCAGCCUCCUACAGAGACUAACAGCACUCUGCCCAUCCAAUGUAAUUUCUGAUGCAUGAGCUCCCUUAGUUAAAAGUGAUACAAUGAUUGAGGGUUCCUUACGCAUGGCAGCAAUGUGAAGCACAGUGUAACCACG
rnacentral:misc_RNA from 1 species